UACGUAGGGUGCAAGCGUUGUCCGGAAUUAUUGGGCGUAAAGAGCUCGUAGGCGGUUCGUCGCGUCGGCUGUGAAAACCCGGAGCUCAACUCCGGGCCUGCAGUCGAUACGGGCGGACUUGAGUGUUGCAGGGGAGACUGGAAUUCCUGGUGUAGCGGUGAAAUGCGCAGAUAUCAGGAGGAACACCGGUGGCGAAGGCGGCGACCUGGACCGGUACUGACGCUGAGACGCGAAAGCGUGGGGAGCAAACAGG
rnacentral:rRNA from 1 species